AACUUCACCGGAUAGAGAUUUCCGAAGCUGUCUGAGGGAACAUGAAUGGUGCCCCUCCUGCAACUUUCUGUUGCACACAAAAGUGGAAUUUAAGUGGAAGUGGUGGAAUUCACUGGACCAUACCAGGAACCUUAAAAGGAGAUAGCCCAUUCUGGUUAAGCAAAAAAGCAACGAUAGAGAAGUUCUAAGGGAGAGGAACUGCCUAGGCUUUGUUCUUAAAAAAUAAAUUAAUAAAUAAGGAGGAGAGAGAAGGAGAAGAAAAAGAAGUCUGACUUUCUGUUGGCUUUUUUGUUUGCAGUACUUGUUAGUGGCUCACAGCCAUGGUAUGACACAAGGUCUGACAACAUGCAUCCUGGUUAGUCACUGAUUAGUAGGGGUUGGAAAGUCCAUAAGUGUUCUAAUGUUUUAGCUUGGAAUUUAACCUUGUUUUCAUCCAAGUGUUAUUUGCUGAAGAGACAAAACACGAAGAGCUAUGGUAACCAUUCUCUCUAACAUCAGGAUUCAGUGGAUUGAGUUCUUAAGUUUUUGCAAAGUAUUAUUAACAGAUAUGUGCCCUGAAAAGCUUUUUUCUCCUGUUGACAGUGCAUGAUAUAUAUGUAAAAGAACCACACAGAAGAUAUUAACGUAUGAUAUGUAAGCAAUGGUUUUAUAAAUAUCCAAAUAUCUUCAGAUCACUCUGCUAUCUCUUGAAAAGACCAUGCAUCAGUAUUAUGGUCAAGUGUGAGAAGAUCAAGACAAAAUGCAGUUUGAAAUACAGCUUGCAAAAGUUAUACAGUUAAUAAAGAGUACAUUUUGUAAAGAUUCUUAAAGUGCUCACAGAUGAAGAAGCCAUAACAAAAACAAAAACCCUUGUUCAUUAGAUUUCUGCUUCAGGGUUCCCUGUGGAGGAGUUUAAGAAAAUUCCUGCUUUGUGAAGUCUCUUUAUGGCAAAUACAUCAGGUUACCUGACAGGUUGAAAACUCAGUAAAUGAAUGAACUAUUAAUGUUUAUUUUGUCAAAUCACAAGGCCCAGGUGGUCCUGCUUGAGAGUUUUAAAGAAACUCAAGAAACAGCUGCAUCUGGACAAAAUGUGUAGAAGUGCUCAAGUGACACUCAACUUUUCUGUCUCUUAACAUCUAUGGACUCACUGCUUAAUAUAAUUACUGUUUCUGCUGCAUCAGUCAUCAUGCUCCUCUGCUGUAUUCCAGAAUAUUGUUUUGAUGGAUGGCCCUUUGUUUUAACCCAGAGCAGCUGUUUUUAGUAAAAAAAAAAAUGUUUUCAUUAUGUCUGCUGCUUGCAUACAAAAUGUGACAAAAUGCAUCAAACUAAACAAGAUUUUUUUUUAAAUUUUGUGUAUAUUUUCCCCCACUUUCUAUUAGCCUGAAAUUUAUUUUUACUAAAUAUUUCAGAUUUAUUUGUUAUUUGUUUAGUUUCGAACACCAUUGCUUUAAUAUGAAGUUUAUUGUAAUUCACAGUACAGGCAGAAGUGUAUUCUCAGUUCUGUUUUUAAUCUUAGCGUAUCCUCUGAACAUCAAUUAACUAAAUGGAACAUAAAUAGAUUACUUAGCACAGUAUCUGAGAAUAUCCUGUUAUUCUGACGGCUAUUAGGAAUUUGAAACUGUUUAUAUCAAAAAACAUACGGGGAAAUUUGUGGACUGCUUAAGAUGUAUGCUUAAUGUAUCUUUAAAUUAAACUAAUCUGCUAGUUUGCCACAAUUUUUAAAAUAAGUUUUCUGUAGGCUGAUUUUAUCUUACACUU
rnacentral:lncRNA from 1 species